rnacentral:lncRNA from 1 species
GGAGCUGUAGGCGAUGGUGGCGAUGGAGGAGUUGGAGGAGGAUUGGGAUUAGGCGGUGGGCUAGGCGAUGGUGGCGGUGGCGGUGGCGAAGGAUUGGGAUUACGGCGGUGGGCUAGGCGAUGGUGGCGGUGGCGGAGAUGGUGGAGAUGGCGGAGGAUUGGGAUUACGGCGGUGGGCUAGGCGAUGGUGGCGGUGGAGGAGAUGGUGGAGAUGGCGGAGGAUUGGGAUUAGGCGGUGGGCUCGGAGCUGAGCGAUGGCGGCGGUAGAGGAGAUGGCGGAGGAUUGGGAUCAGGCGGUGGGCUCGGCGAUGGUGGCGGUGGAGGAGAUGGCGGAGAUGGCGGAGGAUUGGGAUUAGGCGGUGGGCUCGGCGAUGGUGGCGGUGGAGGAGGUGGCGGAGAUGGCGGAGGAUUGGGAUUAGGUGGUGGGCUCGGCGAUGGCGGCGGUGGAGGAGGUGGCGGAGAUGGCGGAGGAUUGGGAUUAGGCGGUGGGCUCGGCGAUGGUGGCGGUGGAGGAGAUGGCGGAGAUGGCGGAGGAUUGGGAUUAGGCGGUGGGCUGGGCGAUGGUGGCGGUGGAGGAGAUGGCGGAGAUGGCGGAGGAUUGGGAUUAGGCGGUGGGCUCGGCGAUGGUGGCGGUGGAGGAGAUGGCGGAGAUGGCGGAGGAUUGGGAUUAGGCGGUGGGCUCGGCGAUGGUGGCGGUGGAGGAGAUGGCGGAGAUGGCGGAGGAUUGGGAUAGGCGGUGGGCUCGGCGAUGGUGGCGGUGGAGGAGAUGGCGGACUCUGGCCCCACGAUUGGGAUCGGUUACGAGUGUUGCCUGGUAAGGUGUUGAUUCAUUAAGGCAUGUAAUCCCUAAGACCGCAAUCGUCUGCAGCUGGUAGCGUUGUAUCGUGUACGACAGAGUGAUGUUGAUGACUUGUCGACUACAGCCGCUGGCAUCCAGUCCUGUCAGGUUCACCUGUGUAUAUGCAUGAAUGGGGAAUGGGACACCGUGGGUACACCGUGCCAGGCGCAGAUAUAUCGUCCAGAUAAAAGGUACUGUUUGAUAC